CAGUUCUCGUUAGAUCACCGAAGUCAAGCAUCAUUGGGCGCGGUCAGUACUUGGGUGGGUGACCACCUGGGAACACUGCGUGCCGUU